GUCUUUUCGAAGAGAUAUGAUAAAAUUAGAACGAUACUGAAAAGAUUAGCAUGAUCCCAUGCACAAAAAUAACAUGCAUAAUUAAGAAAUGGUCAAAUUCGAU
rfam:Brassica rapa chromosome A9, whole genome shotgun sequence.